rnacentral:rRNA from 1 species
UACGUAGGGUGCAAGCGUUUGUCCGGAAUUAUUGGGCGUAAAGAGCUCGUAGGCGGUUUGUCGCGUCGGCUGUGAAAGCCCCGGAGCUCAACUCCGGGUCUGCAGUCGAUACGGGCAGACUUGAGUGUUGCAGGGGGAGACUGGAAUUCCUGGUGUGGCGGUGAAAUGCGCAGAUAUCAGGAGGAACACCGGUGGCGAAGGCGGGGUCUCUGGGCAACAACUGACGCUGAGGAGCGAAAGCGUGGGGAGCGAACAGG